rnacentral:rRNA from 1 species
UACAGAGGGUGCGAGCGUUAAUCGGAAUUACUGGGCGUAAAGCGCGCGUAGGCGGCUUUGCAAGUCGGGUGUGAAAUCCCCAGGCUCAACCUGGGAACUGCAUUCGAGACUGCAUUGCUAGAGUAUGGGAGAGGGAAGUGGAAUUUCCGGUGUAGCGGUGAAAUGCGUAGAUAUCGGAAGGAACAUCAGUGGCGAAAGCGACUUCCUGGACCAAUACUGACGCUCAUGUGCGAAAGCGUAGGGAGCAAACAGG